UCAACGAAAUACCGGAAUUACUAGGAAGUGAGUCGCCACGUGGAAAGCGCCAUCACGGACGCUGAAAAUUGUUUGGCGUCGUUUAGGGUUGCUUAAACCGAUCAAAACCGAAAAACCACUCGGAGUUUUUAUCGAGUCGUAGCAAAUGUCGCUGUUUGUAAGAGGAGGAUGCAAGAAAUUGACGGACAAACGGCGUCAAAAAAUAAACUUGCAAGUCUUCACCUGCGGUUGGGGGGGGAACGAAGUCGGCUAAUAACUCCUGUGUGCAGUUACCACUCCGUUAAAGGCUACCCCACUUGUGUUUGCAGAAUGUACUCCUGCAGUUAACCUUGGUUAUAAAAAAAAAAAGUUUAAUCCAUGUCGGAGAGACCACAUCUUCAAGAAGAGAGGAUGAAAUCCAGAGAUGUUUGAUAAAGACAGAAGGGGUAGAGGCCUAACUGGAUCUCCAUGAGUCAGCCAAGAACUCAGAGCCAGAUGACAUCACUGAGAUGUUACACAAUUGACCAGUGCCCACACUGCAAAGCAAGAUGAGGUUAAUCUGCACUAACUGCUGGGGACAAGGGAUUCUGCCUUAUCAACGAUGGAGAUUACACUGGACUGGAGCCAUGCUUACUCCUUCCACAUCCAGGACUCAAACUUUAACCAGGAAACAUUAGGCUUGUGGAGAAGAAACCAACAUGAAGACGUUUACAGGUCCAGAGCUGCCACUGCGUUGUCAUCUUCUCCCCCUCCUGCAGAGACAGAACACAUGUUAAUCACUGAUUAAUAUCUAUCUAUAGAUUUUCUAAACUGUCUACAAAUCAGUCAUUAGCUCUAAUUAUUAGUGACUAAUAAUUAGCUCUAAUGAUUGAGUCCCUGUCUGAAUCUUAAAAUAGUCCUGAAAUUACUGUGCUAUAAAACAGUCCAUUUAAUUGUUUUACAUGUAGAAUGAUAAGAAAAUCUACUACAAUGCCACUUUCUGCCUUGUUUUAUUAUAAUUAUUACCGAUUACUUUCUAUUGUUAUGUAGUACUUCUGUUACUACCAUUACAUGGUUUAUGUUUAUCUGUAAAAUUUGAGACUUAGUUUAAUUGUCUUUUACUUUGCUGUUUAUAUGAAGUUUCAGUAUUUUGUCCUCUAUUCUGUUUUUAAAAAGAAAUUAAAACAUUUUCUUACCUUUUA